CUGUGGUUUGUUGCCUAUGUUCAUUACUAAAGGAAACACUAAAUUUCAGUUACAAUUGUGAAAAAUAAAGAUAAAUGUUUCCUAUGCAAGUUUACAGACUCCCAGAAUUCUAUCUAUAGAGCUCCAAAAGCACUGGGCUGAGCUUUACAAGAUACCCAGCUGACGGGGCAGGGGUCUGCACUCAGGGGAAGUUCCCACCAGGCCCGAGCCUGCACUCUCCUUUGUUCCCCUGGAUGAUGCUUUCUUGUCUCUAAAAUCCUGUACUUCUGAUGACAUCCUGCAUCUCCUUUUAUCUUAGGAUGUUUUACAGUCUCCUUUUGUGUUCAGAGAUUAGAUUGGCUCAUCAGAACUGGAACACCCUGCCUUACCCAUAUUUAUCUAUUUACCAUGUAGGCUCAAUGCUCUGAAGAUGGAAAGGAGAGGACAUUGAUGGGUCUGUAGGGGCCCUGACCCCAUGAAGUCAGAAGCCCCGAUCCGAGAGGGGCUUUUGAGCACUGCUGCUCAGCAUUCCUCAAGAUCUCAUGAGAACACCAGUGAGACCUCCAAAUUUGGGUUGAAGGUGUGAUCAAAGGUCACCUCCUAUCCAUCCUGAUAAUGCUUAUGAUAGGAUGUAGAUUGUGGUGGUGAUGGGAGGAGGCUGAAAUGGGAGGGGUCUAGGAAUAUAAUCCCUGAAAGCUGGACCAGAGUUUACUCUUGUGAGUUGGGUUUAGGACUGGUGUUGACUGUCCCUUUGUUGUCAGCGGUCAUGAGGAGGUGAGUAGAGUCUUCUGGGAAGGGAAAAGAGGAGUCGCCUCUGCUUGGUCUCUUGGCCCUCCCUCCCUAUAAAUCCUGGGAAGCCCCUGAGAUGUCAAGGUAGGAAGGGGACCCAGAACUGGGGGACAAGGGAACAGGAAGGGAGAGGAGAAAGGGGUCUGCAGGGACACUGCCACCCACUAGGCACCCCCGACACCAGCCGGAGGGGUCUGAGCACUCGGAAGGCUCUGAGGGCCUUGACAUCCAAGCCGGCUCCUUUGCUGCUCAUUGGGGCUGUGUGGCUUUGGAUGACGUUAACCUGUUCCAGAAUCACGGUGAAGACCCUAGAAUGGAGAAGAGGGAGAGAGGGGGUCCAGGGGUUGGAAAAGCCACUGCCCCAGUGGUCUGAGGCCCUGUGUCCUGUCCAUGCUUGAGCACCUGUGGAAAGGCCUAGGGGAGAGACGGCAAAUACGGGUGCAUCAACUAACAAAUGAUCUGAUCAUGCUUAUCUGGGGAAUUUCACUUAAAAGGAUUCUGACAUCAAGUUCAUACUCAGUGAAAAGAGUAUGGUGCUCCACUUGUGAGGUCUACUUUGGGUGCUGAACGGGGGUGAGGUAUGUGUGCCACAGGGACAGUCCCUGGCCCUGGGGCUGAGUACCCCCAACACGGGCUGGAGGUUACCUGUACAUAGUCAGUGGUGACCCAGAGAAGAAACUCCACAGCAAGUUCUCCCUCUGUGCUUUUCCUCCUGGCUGCACUUUUUGAUAAUGCCCUUUAUUUUCUUUCCUACUGGCCUCCUCUUCCUCUCUUAAUUUACUCAAAUUUCCAUUAUCCUUUGAAGUCUACCUCAAAUUCCUUUGCCUCCAAAUACUUCUAACGGCAGAACUCCCUGGGACACAUUGCGUAUGAAACAACAAUGCGCUGUGAGGUACUGCUUUCUGCACUCUAUUAUUCUGUACGCAUUUGUCUUGGCUUCCAACCAGGGCAGUUUGUAAAAGGCAGAGGCAGAUUCACAGAAUUCUUCUAUUUUCUCUACUGAGCCAAAAGUAGCACUGGAUGGUUAGCAGGUAACCAACACCAUCCUUACGGAACUGAAGGACAGCAUACUGGUUGAGCAUGCAGCCUCUGGAGCCGAGACUGCUUUGGCUUGAAUCCCAGCACUGCCACCAGCUAGCUGUGUGACCUUGGGCAAGUUGCUUGACUUUUCUGUUCUUUAGCCUCCUUAUUUAUAAAAUGAGGGAAAACAGGAUUGUGGCAAGAAUUAAGUGAGAGGGUACAUGUAAGCACAUAUUAAGUGCUUGAUAAAUGCUAUUGUUAUCAUUACGUGGUAGUUACUCAUGGUAAUGCUAUGGGUAGAGAUAUGUUCCUUCUAAAUUCAUAUGCUGAAGCCCUAACCCCUAGCACCUCAGAAUGUGGUUGUAUUUGGAGACAGGGUCUUUAAAGAGGUGGUUAAGAUGAAACGAAGUUGUUAGGGUGGGCCCUCAUCCAAUUUGACUGGUGUCCUUAUAAGAAGAGGAACUCUGGACACACAAAGAGACACCAAGGAUGCACAGGCACAGAGGAGAGACUGUGUGAACCCAAACCUGCCAGCAUCUUGACCUUGAAUUUCCAGACUCCAGAACUGUGAGAAAUAGAUUCCUGUUGUUUCAGCUUCCCAAUCUGUGGAAUGUUAUUAUGGCAGCCCUAGCAAACUAAUACAGGUUAAUAAAUGUCCGUUUUUGUGAACCCAAAUAACAGGUACUCAAUACAGGUCUGUGGAAUAAACUAAUAAAUGACAGAGGCUGAGAAACUUAUGAACAUCCAGAAACUGCUGGCCAGUGGAAACAUCCAUAUCAUUUCCAAAUUUGUGUGAUGUGAGGAGGAUAAUGGAAUUUAUAGCAUCUAGCAGGGGAAGGAGAUUUGACCUGCGGGCAGGGUCGGGGGCAAUGAUCCACUCUCCACCAACAUGGACAGCUCCCUUGCUGGGCCGGCCUCUAACAGAGGCUGCUCCAUGCAGUGGUUAGCACAAUGCUGGAGUCCCACCCCACCUCUAAGAUGCUGGUGGUGGUGGCAGUGGGCACACAGUCCUCAGCGAGGGU
rnacentral:lncRNA from 10 species